rnacentral:rRNA from 1 species
AUUGAACGCUGGCGGCAUGCUUUACACAUGCAAGUCGAACGGUAACAGGCCGCAAGGUGCUGACGAGUGGCGAACGGGUGAGUAAUGCGUCGGAACGUGCCCAGUCGUGGGGGAUAACGCAGCGAAAGCUGCGCUAAUACCGCAUACGAUCUAUGGAUGAAAGCGGGGGACCGUAAGGCCUCGCGCAGAAAGAUGAGCCGACGUCCGAUUAGCUAGUUGGUGAGGUAAUGGCUCACCAAGGCGACGAUCGGUAGCUGGUCUGAGAGGAUGAUCAGCCACACUGGGACUGAGACACGGCCCAGACUCCUACGGGAGGCAGCAGUGGGGAAUAUUGGACAAUGGGCGCAAGCCUGAUCCAGCCAUGCCGCGUGUGUGAAGAAGGCCUUCGGGUUGUAAAGCACUCUUGUCCGGAAAGAAAUCCUGAAGAUUAAUACUCUUUGGGGAUGACGGUACCGGAAGAAUAAGCACCGGCUAACUUCGUGCCAGCCGCCGCCGUAA